rnacentral:rRNA from 1 species
GUAGUCUCGCACAGAUGCAUAUCAAUAAGCGGAGGAAAAGAAACUAACAAGGAUUCCCCUAGUAACGGCGAGUGAAGCGGGAAGAGCUCAAAUUUGAAAUCUUAAAGGGUUUCCCUUUACGAAUUGUAGUUUAAAGAAGUGUUUUCUGUUGAGGUUUUGGUAAAAGUUCUUUGGAAUAGGACAUCAUAGAGGGUGAGAAUCCCGUAUUUGACCUUUACUUUCAACUUUGUGAUACACUUUCAAAGAGUCGGAUUGUUUGGGAAUGCAGUCCAAAAUGGGUGGUAAAUUUCAUCUAAAGCUAAAUAUUGGCGAGAGACCGAUAGCGAACAAGUACCGUGAGGGAAAGAUGAAAAGAACUUUGAAAAGAGAGUUAAACAGUACGUGAAAUUGUCAAAAGGGAAGCGUUUGACACCAGUGUUGUUUUUCUGAAAAUCAAUUGAAGAACUGUUUAUGCUAAGUUGUUUAGACUUUAACAGCUAACUGUUUAGUUUUGAGCUUUUCUUUAAUGCACUUUUCAGUUAACAAGUCAACAUCAAUUUCUUUUGCUGUAAAAAAGCUUGAGGAAGGUGGCUUGAGAUUCGUCUUAAGUGUUUAUAGCCUCUUGCCUAUGCAGUCGGAGAGAUUGAGGUCUGCAGCGUAGAUCCUUCGGGGCUAAAUGCAUUUGUGCUAAGUUAUAGCAUUUUAUAGACAACUUGUUGACUAUGAUUUGUCUUGUAGCUUACUCGCUUAUGUUAUUUUACCUACGCUUAGGAUGUUGAAGACUCUACAGAGAUA